rnacentral:rRNA from 1 species
AUGAAAGGAAUAUUCUGGAAUAGCAGAGGUCUAAAGGACUUGGCUAAAAGAAGGUUUCUUGCUGAGGCGUCUAUCGAGCAUUGUUUAGAUUUCAUAGCUCUAUCGGAGACGGGUAGAGAUAACUUCGCACCUCAAUUUCUAAAUACUCUUUCGGGAGGUACAGAUUUCGAUUGGCAUUGCUUGCCACCGAGAGGGAGAUCGGGUGGAAUCCUUCUCGGAGUUAGGUGUGAUGCGCUUGAGGUUCGCAGUGUGGUCAUGGGAGACUUUGCUGUUAAGUUUAGGGUGCGAUCGAAGGUUGAUGGGUUUAAUUGGGCUCUUGUUGCGGUGUAUGGUGCUGCACAGCCAGAGCUCAAGCCUGAGUUCUUGGCUGAUCUUGUUCGGAUUUGUGGCUCCGAGCAGUUGCCCAUCCUGGUGGGGGGUGAUUUCAAUAUUAUUCGACGACAUGAGGACAAGAACAAUGAUAAUUUUGAUGGACGAUGGUCGUUCAUGUUUAACACGAUCAUCGAAAGUCUAGACCUGAGAGAAAUUGAGCUCUUGGGUAGAAAGUUUACCUGGGCGAACGCGAUGCCAAAUCCGACGUAUGAGAAGUUGGACCGUGUGUUGGCUAGCGUGGACUGGGAACAGAAGUUUCCCCUGGUGACUGUCCAGGCCUUGUCCCGUGGUAUUUCUGACCAUACACCGUUAUUUAUUGACUCUGGUGAACCCACGCACCUGGGGAACAAAAAUGUGUUCUCCUUUGAGAUGGCUUGGUUUGAAAGAGAGGGCUUCUUGGAUCUUGUGGCCAGAGAGUGGGCUAAGGAUUCAGGAGGGAGGACCGCGCUUCAGCGCUGGCAGAAUAAGAUUAGGCAUUUGAGGAGCUUCCUACGUGGGUGGGUUAAGAAUCUGAGCGGGAUUUAUAAGGCCGAGAAGGAAAAGCUCCUUGUCCUUAUACAGUCUCUGGAUGUAAAAGCGGAAACCACGAUACUGCCGGCUGCCGAGCUUCAUGCCAAGCUAGAGGCGGAAUUGCGGCUCAAAGAACUUCUUAGAGAAGAAGAGUUGAAGUGGGCGUUGCGGGCCAAGGUCCGGCGAGUUGUCCAGGGGGACGCGAACACACAAUUCUUUCACGUGAUCGCUAACGGUAAGCAUCGAAAGAAGAGAAUCUUUCAGCUUGAGCAAGAUGAGGGUACGAUUGUAGGACAGGAUAACCUAAAAUUGUACAUAACCGAAUACUAUAAGCAGCUAUUUGGCCCUCUAGAAGAGAACUGUGUGUCUCUGGUCGAGUCAAGGGUUGAGGAUAUUCCUCAGCUCACGUCAGUGGAGAAUGAUAUUCUUGCGGCUCCUUUCUUGGAGAAUGAGGUGCUCGAGGCCAUCUCACAAAUGAAGAAUAACAAGGCGCCGGGCCCUGAUGGUUUCCCAGUGGAGUUUUAUAAGAAGUGCUGGCACAUCAUUAAAGGGGAUUUAUUGCCUAUGUUUAAUGACUUGUUUGCUGGGCAGCUUCAUCUAUUUCAGCUAAAUUUUGGAACGAUUACCCUUCUUCCUAAGAAAACAGAGGCUGUGAGGAUUGAGCAGUUCAGGCCAAUCUGUCUUCUUAAUGUCAGUUUCAAAAUUUUCACCAAGGUCGGGACCAAUAGACUCACACAGAUUGCGCAUACUAUUGUG